AUUGAACGCUAGCGGGAUGCCUUACACAUGCAAGUCGCACGAGUGGCGAACGGGUGAGUAAUGUAUCGGAACGUGCCCAGUAGCGGGGGAUAACUACGCGAAACGUAGCUAAUACCGCAUACUAUUGGAGAGACCGAUAUCGGAUUAGCUAGUUGGUGGGGGAACGGCUCACCAAGGCAACGAACCGUAGCUGGUUUGAGAGGACGACCAGCCACACUGGGGCUGGGACACGGACCAGACUCCUACGUGAGACAGCAGUGGGGAAUUUUGGACAAUGGGCGCAAUCCUGAUGCAGCCAUGCCGCGUGUGUGAAGAAGGCCUUUGGGGUGUAAAGCACUUUCAGCGAGGAGGCGUUACUCGCAGAAGGAGCACCGGCUAACUCCGGGCCAGCAGCCGCGGUAAUAC
rnacentral:rRNA from 1 species